rnacentral:rRNA from 1 species
GAUGAACGCUAGCGGGAGGCCUAACACAUGCAAGCCGAGCGGUAUUUGUUCUUCGGAACAGAGAGAGCGGCGCACGGGUGCGGAACACGUGUGCAACCUGCCUUUAUCUGGGGGAUAGCCUUUCGAAAGGAAGAUUAAUACCCCAUAAUAUAUUGAGUGGCAUCACUUGAUAUUGAAAACUCCGGUGGAUAGAGAUGGGCACGCGCAAGAUUAGAUAGUUGGUGAGGUAACGGCUCACCAAGUCAAUGAUCUUUAGGGGGCCUGAGAGGGUGAUCCCCCACACUGGUACUGAGACACGGACCAGACUCCUACGGGAGGCAGCAGUGAGGAAUAUUGGACAAUGGGUUAGCGCCUGAUCCAGCCAUCCCGCGUGAAGGACGACGGUCCUAUGGGUUGUAAACUUCUUUUGUAUAGGGAUAAACCUACUCUCGUGAGAGUAGCUGAAGGUACUAUACGAAUAAGCACCGGCUAACUCCGUG